UGAAAUAUUAAUGUUGCAGUCAUACUUGAAAUGAGCAUCAUUUUGACAAAGACGAAUAUAGAAAUCUCUCCAGAAAGGCUGCUGGUUGGGUAACACUUAAAUGUGAGUCAGAGUGUAACUGGAACGAGCAGGCAAUUUGUUUAAGAAAAGAAACACACUAUCUCAGAUAAAAAACCUCCUGAUUCAUUGCGAUGUCAAGGCUUUUCCAUAAUAAAAGAAUAAUAAAAAAAUAUCGUUAAAUAAAUCCAUCAGGAGAUUUGUCUUAGAAGCAGACGAGCUAACGUGUUAUCAAAGAAGCGCACUCCCUUUCUGUCUAUUUAAGAUGCCUGGAAGAGGUCACAUCAAUAGCAUCUCUGUUGUUCCAGACCUGACUAAUGGAGAGAAGAGAGACACAACUGUUGUUUCAGACCUCGCUAAUGGAGAGACGGAGCUCUUCAUUUCCUCCGAGGCCAUUCUCAUUGUUUAACCAUCCACACCAGCCUUCAGCCCCCUCCCUGUCGGAAAACACAUUAUGUGACAUUCCAGAAAUAAAAUAACACAAAUUAUUAAUGAAUAUAGCUAUCCGAAGAAUCGGAAUUUGAUUACGGUGCGAGCCAUAACAGGAUAUGGCUCGGGUUGUAGGGUGGUCUCUCUCUCUCUUUCUCUUUCUCUCACAGUGUGUCUUUCUCCCAUUCAAAUUCGAGGCAUGCUCAAACAUCUAAUAGAUUUUUCCACCCCGGCACACAAUUUACUGCUUACAGAUUUAGAAUUCUCUGGCUUCCGGCCAGUCAGAAGUGAAUUAAUGAUAUGAGCACAUCAGCGAGGAAAAACAGCUUGUGAUUCUCUCUCCUACAGGUCUGAGCAUAAUGAAGAAGAUACUGCCAUAAACCCUCCCAACACCACCAAAAAGAAGAAAAAAAAAACAUACCAGAGAAGGAGAGAGAGAGGGGAGGGUGGUGAGAGAGGCACAUAAUCAAUACAAACACUCCAUUAAAUUACUUCAAAAAGGGAUUUUGGACAGUUUGUAGAAUUAGUUCUGCGGAAAAAAAAGCAGAUGGGGAAGCAAAUAUGUUCGAGGGGCGGAAAGCAAACAAGUGCAAAUGCUACAAUCUGCCACAUAUUCUGAAUGGAGGAGUACAGUGUGGCGUGUCUCACAAAAGCAUUCUUUCUCUGCCGGAGUCACAACAUACCAUUACUCUUGUAACACCACGACACUUCCUCUUUAUCUUUUCCAAGAAACCGCUUUACUCCUUCCCACGUAGCAGUCGGAACAUAAAACAUUUUCAUGUGUGAUAGUGAGUCAAAUAUUGUUCUGUAUUGUCACCAAGACAAAUCAGCCGUGAGAAGACAGCAUCUGUCUGUUUCCUUAUCACCAGCUCCUGCCCGCAUAAACAUUCAGCGACGCUCUGAACAGUCUCUGAAAAGGGACAGAAUCUACCCUCUACAUCAAAUUGAAAUGUUCCGACUGAAAUAUUGUCGGGAUAUCAACUCGGGGUAUGUGUGCCAAGCCUGGCAUCCAGAUCAGAUGUUGCAUCAGAGGGAAAUACAGUGGUUCUAUCCCCGAGCGGGCCAGGCUGUAAAGAAUCUUGAAAUGCGGCGAUAUCGCUCCGUGCCUCACUGGCCUACUGCACCUUCCAGCUCAAUCACUGUAUUCCCCUCUGAGGCAAUAGCUGAUCUGGA